rnacentral:rRNA from 1 species
UGAACGCUGGCGGCGUGCCUAAUACAUGCAAGUCGAGCGAACGGACGAGAAGCUUGCUUCUCUGAUGUUAGCGGCGGACGGGUGAGUAACACGUGGAUAACCUACCUAUAAGACUGGGAUAACUUCGGGAAACCGGAGCUAAUACCGGAUAAUAUUUUGAACCGCAUGGUUCAAAAGUGAAAGACGGUCUUGCUGUCACUUAUAGAUGGAUCCGCGCUGCAUUAGCUAGUUGGUAAGGUAACGGCUUACCAAGGCAACGAUGCAUAGCCGACCUGAGAGGGUGAUCGGCCACACUGGAACUGAGACACGGUCCAGACUCCUACGGGAGGCAGCAGUAGGGAAUCUUCCGCAAUGGGCGAAAGCCUGACGGAGCAACGCCGCGUGAGUGAUGAAGGUCUUCGGAUCGUAAAACUCUGUUAUUAGGGAAGAACAUAUGUGUAAGUAACUGUGCACAUCUUGACGGUACCUAAUCAGAAAGCCACGACUAACUACGUGCCAGCAGCCGCGGUAAUACGUAGGUGGCAAGCGUUAUCCGGAAUUAUUGGGCGUAAAGCGCGCGUAGGCGGUUUUUUAAGUCUGAUGUGAAAGCCCACGGCUCAACCGUGGAGGGUCAUUGGAAACUGGAAAACUUGAGUGCAGAAGAGGAAAGUGGAAUUCCAUGUGUAGCGGUGAAAUGCGCAGAGAUAUGGAGGAACACCAGUGGCGAAGGCGACUUUCUGGUCUGUAACUGACGCUGAUGUGCGAAAGCGUGGGGAUCAAACAGGAUUAGAUACCCUGGUAGUCCACGCCGUAAACGAUGAGUGCUAAGUGUUAGGGGGUUUCCGCCCCUUAGUGCUGCAGCUAACGCAUUAAGCACUCCGCCUGGGGAGUACGACCGCAAGGUUGAAACUCAAAGGAAUUGACGGGGACCCGCACAAGCGGUGGAGCAUGUGGUUUAAUUCGAAGCAACGCGAAGAACCUUACCAAAUCUUGACAUCCUUUGACAACUCUAGAGAUAGAGCCUUCCCCUUCGGGGGACAAAGUGACAGGUGGUGCAUGGUUGUCGUCAGCUCGUGUCGUGAGAUGUUGGGUUAAGUCCCGCAACGAGCGCAACCCUUAAGCUUAGUUGCCAUCAUUAAGUUGGGCACUCUAAGUUGACUGCCGGUGACAAACCGGAGGAAGGUGGGGAUGACGUCAAAUCAUCAUGCCCCUUAUGAUUUGGGCUACACACGUGCUACAAUGGACAAUACAAAGGGCAGCGAAACCGCGAGGUCAAGCAAAUCCCAUAAAGUUGUUCUCAGUUCGGAUUGUAGUCUGCAACUCGACUACAUGAAGCUGGAAUCGCUAGUAAUCGUAGAUCAGCAUGCUACGGUGAAUACGUUCCCGGGUCU